rnacentral:rRNA from 1 species
GACGAACGCUGGCGGCGUGCUUAACACAUGCAAGUCGAACGGAAAGGCCCUGCUUUUGUGGGGUGCUCGAGUGGCGAACGGGUGAGUAACACGUGAGUAACCUGCCCUUGACUUUGGGAUAACUUCAGGAAACUGGGGCUAAUACCGGAUAGGAGCUCCUGCUGCAUGGUGGGGGUUGGAAAGUUUCGGCGGAUGGGGAUGGACUCGCGGCUUAUCAGCUUGUUGGUGGGGUAGUGGCUUACCAAGGCUUUGACGGGUAGCCGGCCUGAGAGGGUGACCGGCCACAUUGGGACUGAGGUACGGCCCAGACUCCUACGGGAGGCAGCAGUGGGGAAUAUUGCACAAUGGGCGGAAGCCUGAUGCAGCAACGCCGCGUGCGGGAUGACGGCCUUCGGGUUGUAAACCGCUUUCGCCUGUGACGAAGCGUGAGUGACGGUAAUGGGUAAAGAAGCACCGGCUAACUACGUG